GUGGGCCUGCUCCUGGUGGGACCUUAGUGAUGUGGUCAUGAUCGGGGAUAAAAGGGGUCCCCAUGAAGAAGGAGGGGGGAACCAUUUUUGGCAGAGCCAUGCUGCAAAGCAGGGAGAGAGCUUCCAUGCUGGAGCCCUACGGCUCCUGGGGAGAGAGGAAGAGCAGCUGAACGCUGCAGCCCUCUCUCUCUCUCGAAACUGGACAUACAAGAAACUGCCUGCCUCCAGAGGAAAGCAACCAGCCUCUGGAAGAUACUUACAGGUUUGGAAUAUCGGAUGUGGCAGGUGUCUGAAGCCUGGGGCCGGUGCUCAUCCCGGCGGAGGCAGGAGGCACUUUGGCCACUUGAACAGACGAGGUUUAGCCAGUCACCAACACUGAAGUGUAUGUGCAGUGACUAGUUUCAAUUAAGCUCAGAGCUGAGUUCAAAGCAAGAUCUGUAGAAAUACAAAGCAGUUGUGGGUUUCCAGAACAGCACCUGAAAAACUCAGUUUUGCAUCUAAAAAUUUGCUUCAAAUGAUACAUUUGGCACGUUCUGUUGUUGCUUAGAUGUAAGAAUGAGAAAACCUGUGCAGAAAUCCCACUACCCUGGAGUUUUGGCUGGAUUGGAGCCUACAACUGAAACUGUGCAAACGCUACUGAACUCUUGUGGCUUGUGUCAACCCUCGCUCACAUAUAAGCCGUAGGGCCUAGCUGGUCGCUGUCAUGCCAAAGUGGACCAGCCAGUUGGGAGGUUGGAGUCCAGGUUUCGCUAUACCCAAUGAGGAAUGGCACAACUCUUGAUGAGGCUCGAUGGCCAUGGCCAGCAUCACAUGACACAAGGACAUUAAACAAGAAUGCCAGUUUAAACAUAUAUUUUAAUGCCGUACAUUUAACAUGUGUGAUUCACCCUGGAAGUCUAUGAUCUCAGCCUCUGAUGCUACAAUGCAUUCCUUCAGCUAGCUAUGAUUCACUAGACUCACCACUCACUGAUCAAACACACCCAGCUGUCAUUAGGGAACUUCACACACUGAUUCCGUUGCCUUAUUCCGGGAGCAUCCUUAAACUGCAAGUUCUUCGAAAACGGCUCUGCCUCAGUAAAGGGCUAGCCUGCUGGUGGAGCUACUGCAGGACUUCUCAAGCUGCCUUGGGACAGAUCAGAAGGUAACUUAGAAGUUAGCUCAUGUCCUGGCUCUCUCAUGAUGCUUGGAGGCUCUCUUGCAGCUUAGAUUAAGAUGGAACAUUACAUGCUGGGAUCUGCAGUCUUCGGGCUCCAUCCACAUUAAAGAUGAAGAUGACUGCAGCUAACUUCUACUCGUGCAUACUAGGUGUGGCUCGUGUUCCUAGUGGGCAUGUUUACACGUUCAUUAAUGCACUUUUGCUACUGCACAUUAAAUUUAGUACUUCUAAUGUGAAGUACUAACUAAAUGUGCAUUAAGCUGCUGUAAUAUGCAGAAGAAAAAGUGCAUGCUUUUUUAGUGACGCUUAAUGUGCACUAGCCUCUUUUUACUGCUUAUUAGCAUAAUAGCACAGUUUUUUACAUGGUGCUUUAAUGAGUAGUAAAAUUGGCUGUGUAUUAAAGCGUAUGUGUAGACACACCCAGCAAGUGCCAGAACAGCUCAUGCUUGAGCAAAAUAGGGUGCCACUGAUAUAGGAACACCACACAUGCCAGCGAAACUCCACAAAUGGAAGGUCCACACGGUUCUGUUAUGUCACCUGCGAGGCUUGAUGGGCAUCACUGUGAACACUGUGGUGAAGGCAGGGUGCUGCAGCUGGGGAAAGAGAAGCAGUGUUGCUCAGUGAACACAGCACAUGCUCUCCAGGCCAAGCACAGCCCUUCUCCCCCCAUUCAGCACUGCCAUCUUCACAGAGUCCAUGGAGCGGGAGGAUGGAGGGAACAGCCUUGCUUUGGAGUGCCUUAACUCUGACCUAAUCUCCUCCUUGUUCUCAGUGGGCACAUCUACAUGAGACACUAAAAGCAGAGUAGAUUCAUUCUACUGUGCAUUAGAAUAUCACGGCAGAAGCUGUGCUAACGUGCAGAAUUAGUGUACUGCACAUUAGCGUCACCUAAAAGACCUCUGCCAGCACUAUUACGGCAAUUUAGUAUCUGUUAUUACAGGUACUAAAGUUAAUACACCAUAAUUCCGGUGCAUUAAUACACAUGUAGACGUACCCAGUGUUUCUUGACCUCUUUCUCAGUCGCUCUGGUCAAGCCUCUUUAUAUGAAAGACUCUCUUAGAAGGAGACACAGGCAGAAUUAGACUUAAGGAGAUUUGGAUCUCCACAGCCAGGAGCUCUCCAGACCUCUGGAAGAGAAAUGGACCAGGCCCUGCGCUCCAGACAACACUGAGAUGGAUGCUCUGCUCUCAGGUGAAACUACUGUCUAUUCAGAAACUAAUGCCCCUGGGAGCACAUUUGGGGAUGACACGAACACCGCACCACCAGGCCCACCGAUUCGCAGCAGCUACCUCAGUCCUCCUGGCUUCCAGGGAUCAGCUCUGGCAAGAAGAGUGCUUGCUUAGGGUUGGCUUUGGGGACAGGUCACCUCACUGUCCUUCUCCAAUGUUGGGGAGAGUCCAGGGAAGUGCCAGGCAUCAGAGACACAGUGUCAGCGGGGUCUGAUGGGAAGGGCUCACUCUUCUUCUGCAACAAUGACGGAUCCAAGGACGACAGGAGUGGGUGCGGGACAGGACAGAUUCCAGCAGUGUGUCCUUGUGCCCAGUGGAAGGAUUCGAAGGCAGCUUUGGGUGGCAGCAGCUACUCUGGCAUUAGGGUUCUCCAGCAGAAGCAGCAAGAACGGUCCCCCAAGGGCCAUCACAGGUGGUGGCAGCAACAAAUUUUGCAUGGCCCUGCUUCUUGCCUUCAGGGUGGCUUGUCAUGGGAGCUCUUGGUGGCAAUGUCAUUCCUAGCUCAGAUACAGACACGGGAGGUGGUGGUGCAAUAAAGUGUGGACUGCACUUGUAAAUCGUUCUCUGUAUUAGUUUCUGAAUUGACAGUAGUUUGCUAAGAGAGAGCCUGAUGUUACUCUAGAGUUCCCUAUUUACAGCUGCCUGCCUGAGAAGUAGCUCCAAGUCUCUCUCAACCACCACAAGCACCGUAUUUCAGAGGUGAAAGGCCACAACUUUCAGAAAAAGUAAAUGAGAAACAUUCAGCUCUACAAGACCAGAAAGAAAUGCCAAGCAACCGGGGGAUGGGCUGCACUAGCCCAUGAUGGUGUGGGGGAGAGCACAACACCAGGGUUAGCCCGGGAGUGCAGUGGAGGUGCAGGAACUUACUCAUGGUGCAGAGCCGGGUGGCUGGCUGGCUCGGGGGAUAGCAGGGCAUCCUAGAGGGGUGUCUUGCAGGGAGUGAUGGAGUCAGAGGGAGGACGGGGGGACUGGUGUCUGAGUGCCUGGCGUUGGUGGAGCCCCUCUCCUAAGAGCAGUGGGGACCAUGCAGGGUUGCCAGGGGCAGUGUCUCUGGAGGCACAAGCAGCAGAAAGACAGGCUUAGGGCAGACAGAGUGUGCACUGGUGUCCCUCGGGGUGGUGGGACAGUGGAGGAACAUGAGGGGCCCAUGUGUCUCUGGCAAGAAGAGGAUGGUGCCUGGGAAUGGAGAGGGAAUACUGAGUUCUGAUGUCUCUAGGGGCAAGGGAUCCCUGUAGGUGCAAGGGGCUGGCAUCUCUUCGGGAGCAGGUGGGAUUGGGGAGCUGGUGUCCUGUAGAGUCCAAGGUGUGGGGGGAGCAGAGCAGUUAUGCUCAGGGGAUCCAGCACAGCACUGUGCGAUACUUAACCUGCAAGGUGUGGAGAGAGCGAGCAUGGGCUAGCCCUUUUGGCUCCACCAGCGUCAAACAACUCUUACCUAGAGAACCAGUGCCUAUGAAUCCCAGGCAUCUGGAAGGGAGGCAAAGGAGAUGGGAGGAAACGGGAUUGUGGCCAGCUGGGGUCUGUAUUGGGAAAUGUCUAUGAAGCAGUGGCAUAGCUCAGGUGAUGUGAAGGCUGCCCUGACUGCAGGGACAAGGCAGGCUGUGGGAAGCCAUGGGGCCACAAGGAGGCUGUAUGGGUGUAGGAUGGACUGGUGUUGCUGGAGGCCUGUGAUGAAUGGAGAGGGGCUGGUUUCUCUGGGAGCUCGGAGGACUCCUCUGCAUUCAGGGGAUGGAGAACUGUUAUUGUUUUCCAUGUGAGAGAAGGUUCUGUGCGCCAGGGGCCUUCUCACCCACACCCCCUGGGCUGUGGCCUUGUUAGGUGUCAAAAGUUACUUUAGCUCUUGCUCGGUCUGUGUUGGGUGUGAAGCCUGUAGAAACCCAUGGAGCUGCAGGCAACAGUGCCAAUGUCUUAGCAGGGGGUAUCUCUCUCCCUGCAUCAAUGCUGAUCCCAAAGCUUCUGGGUGGUGGCAGGAGGAUGCUGGUGGAGGAGUGUGAAUGACUCGGGAGGGGGCGGGGGAGACUGUGCUACUGCAGAUGGAAGAGAUGUUAAUCUAAGGCACUGGGCUUGUAAAGAUUGCUCGUCACAUUUCCUAGCUAUGCUUCGCCAGCCUGAGUCCCUUAGCAAGUCCACUUAGAUGUGGCCUUCACUGGCGUCUCAUCUUUCAGAGGUGCAUAUUAUUGUGGCUUGUGUCAGGGCUGCCACGUUCCACCCCAGGAAUGGCUUUAGCUCCAUGAGUGAUAUGACUCCUAUGUAUGUAGCCUGGCAACACUUGGGAGUCCUUUGGGAUGAAAUGCAGGUAGUCAUUCCCUGUUCAGGGGAACACACUGAGCAGUGGACCCCACAACCAAAUACAGCAGUUUAACAAUAGAAUCAAGACAUAGAAGCAACAUGAAACAACAGGAAAGCAAGUUAAAGGGCAGAGACAGUGAGAAAGUGAGGAGCCCCCAAACCAAACACGACCAUUUCUAGGAAGUUUGUCUCGGCAUUUCCUCUCCUGUAAGCGGCUGAGGAAUCCUGACAGCUCUGAAAUGCUCCUCAAAAUGCAGCCUGUGAUUAUGUAGGACAGUUAUAGGCCAUUUCUUUUGCCGCGAUGCCUAAACUUUGCACCAAUCCCCUCCCCUGACCAGCAUAAG